rnacentral:lncRNA from 1 species
UGUGUUAUUUCUUUGCAAAACAAGGGCUGUGCAAAUUUUGCCUGCUGUAAAAAUAUUGCAACAGUUAAGUGUAAUGUAGGUACAUUAGCAGAAAGCUUUCUUGUGUUAAAUUUUGAGUUAUUGAACUUGCAUGCUAAAUAUCCACUUUUUGAUAUGGACGUGCUCUGACGUCCCACAGUCUCAGCUUGUCUGGCAAAACAGCCGUUGGAUGUCAGAGCAAUCUCGGACAAGAGACAGGGUUGAGUCCUUCUGUUCUUUCCAACAUAGGUUAACGUGUAGGAUGAAGUUUCUUAUCAAUGAAAGAAGAAUGCUAUCAAAAUGAAAUUUUACAGUCAUAUGCAUCACGGUUUGAACAAUUAAAAAAAAAGUCUGAAAUUAGACCCCUUACACUAAAUUUAUCGUUUAAGAUCACAUAAAAAGAGAUUGUUAUACAAGGCUCUAAGAUGGAACACUUCAUCUUUUGGACACAUAUAUUCUUAUUUAACAC